rnacentral:rRNA from 1 species
UACGAAGGGGGCUAGCGUUGCUCGGAAUCACUGGGCGUAAAGGGUGCGUAGGCGGGUCUUUAAGUCAGGGGUGAAGUCCUGGAGCUCAACUCCAGAACUGCCUUUGAUACUGAAGAUCUUGAGUUCGGGAGAGGUGAGUGGAACUGUGAGUGUAGAGGUGAAAUUCGUAGAUAUUCGCAAGAACACCAGUGGCGAAGGCGGCUCACUGGCCCGAUACUGACGCUGAGGCACGAAAGCGUGGGGAGCAAACAGG